UGGACAGGUAAUGUUGAUUGGUGGUGUAUGAGUUGUGGAUGAUGAACAAUACGUGUGGGAACAGUUCAA
rnacentral:snoRNA from 1 species